rnacentral:lncRNA from 1 species
UCUUAAGGGUAUCCCACAGAAGGGAGAGGCCAGACAUAUUCAGGAAAAUCUUGUUUUUUUAUUCUUGUAGGUCCAGAUUUUGGAUGAAUCUCUAUAAUGGAGAUUGAACAGUGUCACUGGCGUGGGGGUUACCUUCCCACUAUGUCCCCCAGAAGACAUGAGGCCACAGACUGCAGUGCCCGUGGACAGAGGAGCUGUGGGGAUGGAAGUGUGAUUGCUUCAUUCAAAUGCACGCCCCGGUGCGUGUGCGUCUCUUCUGAUGCAGCGCCCCAUGGGCUUCUCUCUGCUACAGAUUUCUAACUUAACAGGAAAGGCAAUUUUCCUCAAAAAGGGCAAAGAACAGCGGGAACAGUAGAG